rnacentral:lncRNA from 1 species
CUGCUUUGAGUGCUGCAGGGAUGACAGUGGAGACGUCCCGCAGACGGACUCCUCAGCCAUCAAGGACGUUGCAUGAAUUUCCAAUUAGAGGCAGCAAUGAAGCAAGAUCUCUACGAAAGCUGGUCAUGUGAAGCAACUUCAGCAAGCUAGCACACUUUCACUUAUUUUUAGUAGGCCAUGAUGGUAUACAAACUCACAGAACAUUGACAGAUUCACAUAAGCAUAUUUCAUGUUAAUAAAUUCAGCUGCAAGGGUUUGUGGGACUCCUAGUUUAAUAAUAUAUGAUUGAUAUUUGCUUUAAUCUUUCAUUAGAUGAGUGUCAGAUUUUUCUGAAAAAUGAGAGUCUCGCCUUGUAGCAUUGCUGUUUCUUAGAAUAGAACAUUUCUAUCAUGCACACAAUAGAAAUUGUUUGUCUACAUUACACUUAACUGUUGUUUUGAUAAAAG